rnacentral:lncRNA from 1 species
GAAAAUUUGAUAUGUUUUGUGAAAAUUGCAGCGUUGGAUCUAUAAUAAAAAAAAGAAGAUGUGGUAUGAUUGCCAAUGAGACAGCUGUCCACAAGAGACCAAAAUGACACAGAAAUUAACAUUUAUAGAUCACCGUACGGCCUUCAACAAUGAGCAAAGCCCAUACCGCAUAGUCAGCUAUAAAAGUCCCCGAUAUGACAAUGUAAAACAAUUCAAACAAGAAAACUAACGGCCUUAAUUAUAUAAAAAAAAUGAACGAAAAACAAAUAUGUAACACAUAAACAAACGACAACCACUGAAAUACAGGCUCCUAUACAAUAUUUUUUUUUUUAUGGGAUAGAUUUCUUGUUCUUUUAUAUA